GAAAAAAAAAACUGCCCAGAUUUAAGACACUUUAAGUUCACGUUUACUGAUCAAGUGAAGAGUGAGUAAGUUUGGACCAUCAGUGUGUGAGUUCAGAGGAUCAGUCAUGAGGGAGUGUUUCUGUCUUUUCUUCUUUAUGCUGCACUUUGCUGAAGGUUGUCAUCUUUCAGCUAGUGUGUCUGAAGUAACAGGUUACACAGGUGGAUCAGUCCUGCUGCCCUGCUCCUGUACUGACCCUCAAUCUAGAGUCAAAUUCACCUGGCAGUACAUAACAACAUGGAUUAAUGUUUUUAAAGAUGGAAAAUUCAUGGGCAGAUGGAAACUGUUUAAUGAAAGUUCUCCAGCAAAUCUGUCUCUGCUCAUUUCUGACCUCAGAAAGAAGGAUGAAGGGUAUUAUAGGUGUCAGACUUCAGCAAAUUAUAAAGACAUUUGGUAAAUAUAAAAGGGUGUGAUCUGGACCAGAAUAAACAGACGGUCGAGGUGACGGGACACUCUGGAGAGUCUGUAGUUUUGCCCUGUUCCUGUACUGAACUACAGGCUAAACCUCCACAGCUUACAUGGACAUUUACUCCACUAAACCAAACAAAACCUGAAGAAAUUUACCCAAAUGAACAGAGUGAGAGACACAGAGGUAGAGUCAAACUGUUGGAUCAAACCUCUCCAGGAAAUCUCUCUCUACUCAUAUCAGACCUGAACACAGAAGAUCAGGGAGAAUAUCAUUGCUCUGUGCUUCAACAACAACACGUCAACAUCAGACUCAGUGUUCAAGAGGAACUUCACUUUCAAUCAAUCUGUUUAUCAAUCCAUAAACCUGCAAAAGAAGAAAGUACAAGCAUCAACACUCAGGAGGCAUACAGAGAAAACAACCACACAACUCACCUUAAUGAUGAAGUGACGUGUUCAAACAGACACACCAGCUCACAGAGAUACAGUAGAGCAUGUGAAGUGUACAAGCGUCAAAGAAAUAUGACUUCAUCAUCUGUAUUUAGUUUGAAACUUCCUGUUUUAACUCAGCGUGCCUAUUUUAUGCCCUCUGUUUUAACUCAACUUAUCUAGUUUAUACCCUGCAGUUAUAGUGUGUGUGUUAGAUCAUUUUCAAAAAGCGCUUUUGCUAAUGCAUUGGUUUAAAAAGUAAACAAUAAAACACCAAGUUAUUCUGACUAAGUACUGCUAAUACUACAUAGACUGACAAACUAAAGAGAUUUAUACAGCCAGACUAAAACCAGUGUUUAUGUACGUAGAAAGUUAUAGUAGCUUGUUCUUCAUAAUCUCUGUGGCAAGUUUCCUGUAGACAUUAUCUUGGUACCAUGUAAACAUUUUAAUGAUUUAACAAAUAGUGGAGUAUGUGAAUAUCUGUCUUUCAGCAGGACUGUUAUGUUUUAACACAAUAAAAAAUAUUGUCAGAUA